rnacentral:ncRNA from 2 species
GUACGUUCUCAGGGCGGGGUGAAACUCCCCACCGGCGGUAACAGGCGUGAAUGUCUGGAGCCCGCGAGCGCUUCAGGUCGUUCGGCAUCAGCCGCACGUCGUGAAGGUCAGCAGAUCCGGUGUGAUUCCGGAGCCGACGGUAUAGUCCGGAUGAAAGAGAGCAAAC